GCGCCCGCUACCGUGUGAAUGGAGGGAUACGCACAACACAUGGUAGGAGUGCUUAUAUAUAUAUAGGUGUCUAGAGGACGGGUAUAGCUGCAUAGAGAUCGAGCAUAUACAUUUACAAACAAAUAAAAGCACUCCCAACACUUCAGAGUUAACAUAGGAUGGUGUCUUUUCCACCCAGAAGCCACCAGAUGUAUCGGCAUCUGCUCGAACUUGCUGCCAUCGUAACCGCGCUGUUGAUGCUAUUUUGUCUUCAACUGUCGGUCGGCCAACACGGUCAUCAUACUCCCGAUCCCCCGCAGGAGGCACGUACACUUGCAGGCCCUGAUCCCACUUUUCAAGUUUCAAAUCCUCCACAUCAUGGUUGAUGAGAGAAUACACUACAAUUUCUCCGGUCCGAUCAUGCAAAGCGCAGUGCCCUCCGACCACCCUAACACGAGUAGAUGAAAAAUUAGGGCCUGUUUGGAAGGGCUCCGACUCCUCCAAAAACGGCUCUAGCUUCGGCUCUUUUGGUGGAGCGACUUCUGUAGUGGAGCUGAAGCCGUUUUGAAAAAUGUUUGGCAAAACAGUUCAUUUGCUUAACACAUGCAUGUCCAAAGAGAUGGCGACGACUUCUUCGUAUUAUCUAAAAGAUGAAAUGUCCAACCUACGCU